rnacentral:misc_RNA from 1 species
UCUCCGUUGGUGAACCAGCGGAGGGAUCAUUACUGAGUCUAACAAACUCCCAAACCCCUGUGAACAUACCUACUGUUGCUUCGGCGGGACCGCCCCGGGCGCGUUCGCGCGGCCCGGACCCAGGCGUCCGCCGGAGGCUCCAAACUCUUGUCUUUUAGUGUAUUUCUGAGUGGCAUAAGCAAAUAAAUCAAAACUUUCAGCAACGGAUCUCUUGGUUCUG